AAAUCUCCUCCAUUCCCCCAAAUCCAUCCAUCAUGGAGUUCCCUCAUCGCCACCACCACCACGGCCACCGCGGCGACGACGACGACGACGAUCGCCGCCGCCAUCCCGCUCCCGCUCCCGCCUACGGCCACGACUCAGCCCCUCCGCCGGGUCCCUACGGCCAAGCGCCUCCUCCGGCUGAUCCCUACGCUCGCCACCCGCCUUCCCACGACUACGCUCAUCCUCCUCCGGCGUAUGGGGGAGGGGGCUACGGCAACGUCGUCCACGUUUCCCACGAGGUCUCCGACCACCAGAGGCCCACGCCGCACUACG
rnacentral:lncRNA from 1 species